GACCACUGUUAGCUGCCAUGUGGGUGCUGGAAACCAAACCCAGGUUCUCUGCAAAAGCAGCCAGUGUUCUUAACUCCUGAGCCAUUUCUCCAGCCCCUGUUGGCACUUUUUCAAUAUGGAACCAGAUCACUUCUUGUAAAGUCUUAAAUGAAGCCAGGAGCCCAGCUUGGUUAGAUCUCUGUUCCAGGGUCUCACCAAGACACAUUCUCAUACAGAGACUUCCAGGGAAGAUCUGCUUCCAAGAUUGCUCAGUUGUUGCAGGAAUCUUUCUGGAUCAGCACUCUGACAACAAAGAGCAUGGAAUUGAGAGGAUGUUAUCAGCACAGUGAAGCCAGGAUACCUCUUGAAAAGCUUUGACAGUUUGUUGGCAGGAUUCAUUUCCUGUGGGUGUCAGAUGGAGGCUUCUAUUUUCUGGUUGGCUGGCGGCUGGAGAGUGUUCCUGGCUCUUGCCCAUGGCUCCCUCCACAGGCUGUUGACACUGGUGCUGGAUUCUCCUGGCAGGAAGAUCUUUGGCUUCAGAUAAGAGAAUCUUAUACAACAUCACCACAGAAGUAACAUCAUGCCAUCUGUAUUGUGUUCUCUUGGUUAGAAGCACACCCACUCUCAAGGAAGAGAUUAUGCAAGGGCUUGCCUCACUGGAGUCACCACACUGUCUACUUAUCCAUCCUCCUCCCAGCCACGCCCCCUUCCACCAUCCAUCUCUUGACUAAUUAUGACAAUAGGUGAAUUAUUAACACUUGAAAAUGGCCAAUGUCAGGGCUCUGCUCCUCAACAUCCACAUGCAUUUCCCAAAGAACCUUCUCAUAUUCUGUUAGAGUAGCAUUUCCUCACAUGGGAAACUGGACAGCAAAUUCCAGUAUAUCCCUAAUGCCUCUUAAACAGAUAGCCCAUCAUUUAAAAAUUUUUGUUGGUAUUUGUUUUUACUUUUUAAAAUUUUGAUACACUUCCCUUCCUUUUCUCUCUCUCCAAACUCCGUACACUUCUCCUAACUCUCCAAAUUCAUGGCAUCUUCUUCCAUUAGUUGUUAAUGCAUGCACAAAUGUAUAUACGUAUAUAUUUCUAAGUGUAACAUGCUCAGUCUGUCUAAUGUUACUUGUAUGUAUGUUUCCAGGGCUCACCAUUUGGCACUGAGCAACCAGUUGGCGUGCUCUUCCCUGGGGAAGACCACCUCUCCCAUUUCUAGCUUUCCUCAGUUGCCUAUAGUUCUUUGUGUAGGGUUGAGGUGGGUGGAGGGAGGGAUCUGGGUGGGAGAGCGGGUGAGGAAGGGAAUGAAGAUAGUGAUCAGGUGUGGGGAACCGGUGGCAGAGGUCUGGGAGUGAGUAUGGGAACCAUAAAGGCUGUUUUAACGUAGUUCCCUGUCCUUCAGCUAUGUUGGAUAUUCAGGGCCUGCUGAGGUGCCUUUAGUGGUGACAUGCUGCCAUUGUUGUUGUUGUUGAUUGUGUUCUUUUGCUGGGUUUGGGAUGAAUAAAGAUCUAGCUGCUGA